GACGAACGCUGGCGGCGUGCUUAACACAUGCAAGUCGAGCGGUAAGGCCCUUUCGGGGGUACACGAGCGGCGAACGGGUGAGUAACACGUGGGUGACCUGCCCUCAGCUCUGGGAUAAGCCCGGGAAACUGGGUCUAAUACCGGAUAUGACUCCAUGACGCAUGUUGUGGGGUGGAAAGCCUUGUGCGGCUGAGGAUGGGCCCGCGGCCUAUCAGCUUGUUGGUGGGGUGAUGGCCACCAAGGCGACGACGGGUAGCCGGCCUGAGAGGCGACCGGCCACACUGGGACUGAGAUACGGCCCAGACUCCUACGGGAGGCAGCAGUGGGGAAUCUUGCGCAAUGGGCGAAAGCCUGACGCAGCGACGCCGCGUGAGGGAUGACGGCC
rnacentral:rRNA from 1 species